AAGGCCCUAGCUUAAUUAAAGUACCUGAGUUGCAUUUAGGAGAUGCAGGGUAAUGUCCUGCGGGUUUUA
rnacentral:tRNA from 2 species